rnacentral:rRNA from 1 species
AUUGAACGCUGGCGGCAGGCCUAACACAUGCAAGUCGAACGAGUGGCGGACGGGUGAGUAAUGUCUGGGAAACUGCCUGAUGGAGGGGGAUAACUACUGGAAACGGUAGCUAAUACCGCAUACCAUCGGAUGUGCCCAGAGGGGAUUAGCUAGUAGGUGGGGUAAAGGUUCACCUAGGCGACGAUCCCUAGCUGGGCUGCGAGGAUGACCGGCCACACUGGAACAGAGACACGGUCCAGACUCCUACGGGAGGCAGCAGUGGGGAAUAUGGCGCAAUGGGAGAAAGCCGGAAGCAGCCAUGCCGCGUGUAGGAAGAAGGCCUUCGGGUUGUAAAGUACUUUCAGCGGGGAGGCGUUACCCGCAGAAGAAGCACCGGCUAACUCCGUGCCAGCAGCCGCGGUAAUUC